AUCCGGCUGACGAGUCCAAAGUAAAAUGAAAUGCGCGUCUCGGAU
rnacentral:hammerhead_ribozyme from 1 species